rnacentral:rRNA from 1 species
GAUGAACGCUAGCGGCAGGCCUAAUACAUGCAAGUCGAACGAUACUUUCCAGCUUGCUGGAGAGGAAAGUGGCGCACGGGUGCGUAACGCGUAUGCAACCUACCUUAAUCAGGGGGAUAGCUCGAAGAAAUUCGGAUUAACACCGCAUAAAAUCACAGUAUAGCAUUAUACAAUGAUCAAAUAUUUAUAGGAUUAAGAUGGGCAUGCGUGACAUUAGUUAGUUGGCGGGGUAACGGCCCACCAAGACCACGAUGUCUAGGGGAUCUGAGAGGGUGACCCCCCACACUGGUACUGAGACACGGACCAGACUCCUACGGGAGGCAGCAGUAAGGAAUAUUGGUCAAUGGAGGCAACUCUGAACCAGCCAUGCCGCGUGCAGGAAGACAGCCCUCUGGGUCGUAAACUGCUUUUAUUCGGGAAUAAACCUAUCUACGUGUAGAUAGCUGAAUGUACCGAAGGAAUAAGGAUCGGCUAACUCCGUGCCAGCAGCCGCCGUAC